rnacentral:rRNA from 1 species
GACGAACGCUGGCGGCGUGCCUAAUACAUGCAAGUCGAGCGGAAAUUUUAUUGGUGCUUGCACCUUUAAAAUUUUAGCGGCGGACGGGUGAGUAACACGUGGGUAACCUACCUUAUAGAUCGGGAUAACUCCGGGAAACCGGGGCUAAUACCGAAUAAUACUUUUUAACACAUGUUUGAAAGUUGAAAGACGGUCUCGCUGUCACUAUCAGAUGGACCCGCGGCGCAUUAGCUAGUUGGUGAGGUAACGGCUCACCAAGGCAACGAUGCGUAGCCGACCUGAGAGGGUGAUCGGCCACACUGGGACUGAGACACGGCCCAGACUCCUACGGGAGGCAGCAGUAGGGAAUCUUCCACAAUGGACGAAAGUCUGAUGGAGCAACGCCGCGUGAGUGAAGAAGGAUUUCGGUUCGUAAAACUCUGUUGCAAGGGAAGAACAAGUAGCGUAGUAACUGGCGCUACCUUGACGGUACCUUGUUAGAAAGCCACGGCUAACUACGUGCCAGCCGCCGCGGUAACAC